CUACGGGCCGCAGCAACUGGGAAUAUUGCGCAAUGGGCGAAAGCCUGACGCAGCGACACCGCGUGUGGGAUGAAGCUCUUCGGAGUGUAAACCACUGUGGCAAGGGAAGAAUUUUGACUGUACCUUGCUAGAAAGCACCUGCUAACUACGUGCCAGAAGCCUCGGUAAUACGUAGGGUGCAAGCGUUAUCCGGAUUUACUGGGCGUAAAGGGUUCCGUCGGCGGUUUGUUAAGUUAUAUCUUAAAUACUGGGGCUCAACUCCAGAUACAGGGUGUAAUACUGGCAAACUUGAGUCUGUUCUGGGAAACUGGAACUCUCGGUGUAGGGGUGAAAUCCGUAGAUAUCGAGAGGAACGCCGAUCGCGAAAGCAGGUUUCUAGGACAGUACUGACGCUCAGGGACGAAAGCUUGGGUAGCAAAAGGGAUUAGAUACCCUGGUAGUC
rnacentral:rRNA from 1 species